GGUUUAACCCAGUAUCUCAAGGUACUAAGGUGUUCCUACCGAGGGAUUCUCUCUCUGAGUUGAAGACCGUAAUUUUUGCAUCGCUUUCUCGGGGUUAUCCGGGGGGCCAAA
rnacentral:sRNA from 1 species